GUGCUCACUUUGGCAGCACAUAUACUAAAAUUGGAAUGAUACAGAAGGAUGACAUGCAAAUUUGUGAAGCAUUCUAUAUUUUU
rnacentral:snRNA from 1 species